AUGGUAGAGCGUUUUCGGGGAGAAGAAGUAAUCUACCAUAGCUUUGACAGUGCAGAAGACGACCCGUAUGGCUACUACGCUCCCGAGUUCUUAAAUGGAUUGACUCCCAACGGUCUGCCUCCGCAUGCACUCAAACUGAAGCUCAACUGCCCUGUCAUACUUCUGAGGAAUAUUGAUCCGGCUAAUGGUCUGUGUAACGGGACGAGGCUUGUGGUGCGAGGUUUCGAGAGGAACGCCAUCGACACAGAAAUCGUGAUCGGACAACACGCAGGUAGGAGGGUAUUCCUUCCUCGAAUACCCCUAUGCCUGUCUGACAACGACAUGUUUCCAUUCAAGUUCAAGAGGAAGCAAUUUCCUGUAAGGCUUAGCUUUGCUAUGACGAUUAACAAGGCUCAAGGCCAGACAAUUCCGAUUGUUGGCGUGUACCUACCUAAUCCGGUGUUCUCUCAUGGUCAACUCUAUGUCGCAUUGUCUCGAGCCACCGCAAAGAUAAAUAUAAAGAUCCUCAUUGAGAAGGAGAAGGAGAAGGAGAAUGCCAAGAAGCAAAGCGGUAAAUCUAAGAAGCGGUAA
rnacentral:rRNA from 1 species